rnacentral:piRNA from 1 species
UGCUUAUUGUUUCGAAUGCCCUUGGUUGGU